UUUCAAAAAUAACUUUAUGCUGCAGUUUUAAGCAAACUGUGACAGCUCUUAGCUGCCACAUAACUCAAUAUAAAGUGCAUAAAAAACUUCACGGUGGGACAGUGAAUCACAAAUUCCAAAACGUACGUGUGUCUACAGAACAAACGAGAAAGGUUUACUCAGUGUUUGUUUUUGGAGCUUUCUGCGGGUUCCUCACACUGGCCACAUUUAAAACGUGGACACUUGUUUAUUUAAUUAAGGGAGAAGACAGGGGACUAAAUGUCCACCCUGCCCAGAGUUCUUAGAACAUCUUCAGUUAAGAGGGGAAAGUAAGAAAUCUAUUCUUAAAGCCACUGGGCUGACAACUAGAAUCAUAUUCUCUUCCUGUUUGUAUGUUUAUGUCUGGAGUUGCCACUGAUCUUUUGAUAUUGUUUUUCUGGUAAAGGAUAAAUGUGUUUGUUCACUUCAAAACAAAUCCUGUGACCUGCACACAGAAGCAUUAGCUUCUCCAGGCAAAGAGGAGAGAAUAUUGAUUACAAGCUGCUAGAUUUUUUUGUUUGUUUUUUUAAAUUCUUGGGGGGAGAAAACAACCUUGAAGCUUGGGCAUUUCUAAAACUUAAUAUUCCCCCCAAUAAAGCAAACCAUACUCCUUAUAGGAUAGAAAGUUAAGCCUCUAACUGGUGCCGAUUUAAAACACAAAUGCACAAUCAGUUAAUAACUACCCCCUCCUGGACUAAUAAAACUAAUUAUUCUUUUGGUACUGUAUGAUUUUAUCAGGACUUUCUAGAGCCAUUAUAAAAUUACUGUUUCCAUUUCAAUAAAUGAACAUAAGUUUAUAUUGAAUUUUAGAGGGGAAGUUGAAAUUUGUAAUUGCAAAAAUCUUAUUGUAAUAUUUCCAGGAGGAACAAUAUGUAUUCUAGUGAGCAACAUUUGAUGAGAUUGUUUCCUUGGAAAUUGGGAUUUGUUUGUAAAGGUUCAGGAACUGGUUAUGUGUGAAGGAUACUGGUCCUACAUACCGGUCUGAUUUCAGGAAGGAUAUUAUGUCAUUCCAUAAACUCUGUGUGCAGGUCUUGAUUGAAUAGAAACAAAAGUAUUUCCCUGUGGUUUGAUUUAAAAAUACAUUAG
rnacentral:lncRNA from 1 species